GUGAUGACCCAGUCUCCAGGCUCUCUGGCUGGGUCUGCAGGAGAGAGCGUCUCCAUCAACUGCAAGUCCAGCCAGAGUCUUCUGUACAGCUUCAACCAGAAGAACUACUUAGCCUGGUACCAGCAGAAACCAGGAGAGCGUCCUAAGCUGCUCAUCUACUUAGCCUCCAGCUGGGCAUCUGGGGUCCCUGCCCGAUUCAGCAGCAGUGGAUCUGGGACAGAUUUCACCCUCACCAUCAACAACCUCCAGGCUGAAGAUGUGGGGGAUUAUUACUGUCAGCAGCAUUAUAGUUCUCCUCCCACAAUGUUUCAAUCUCGCACACAAACCUCCUCCCCAGGGCCGCAGGUCAGGGUGGCUUUGCUGCACCAGCUGCUUCCUCCCCAUUUGGCCCUGUAUCUCCCUAAGCUGUGUGAGGAGCCAGGCCUUCUGGCUUAAUCAUGGAAGAAUGUAUGAGUUUCAAGGGAAGAUUGAGUAGAUUAGCCUCUUCUAUGUCUCUCGUGCAAGGAGGUCAUUCUGUGAAGACUGUAGUGACUUUCAACCGACCCAACUUGUCUACACAUUCAAGAUACAUUGUAUCACCUGAAUCUGAAUUGUCCAUACAGAUGGAUUUAUACUACUGACCUGAUCAUGGUUUCAGCUGCAUCCUGUGGAAAAGGGACCAGUGUGCCUCACAACAGAAUGUUCUCUUGUAAUAUGACACUUCAGCAUACCCUGUAACCCCCUUGUCACCUGCAUAACUGCCCAACUCAAGACAUGAUUACUCAGCAGUGUUCUUAAGACUGCACUUCAUUCAUCUUCUCCUCUCUAUUCUUGCUAGAGGCUAUUAAAAAGACAAAAUGUAACUGGAAAAAUAAUAUCUCACUGGAUCCCAGCUGAAGGCUUGCAAAAACAUUUGAGGUUUUGAUAAGGGGCAGGAAUUUGUGAGUUUUACAGAAGCUGCA